rnacentral:rRNA from 1 species
AUCAGGAAUCUCGCGCAAUGAGGGAAACCUAGACGCAGCGAUGCCGCGUGGGUGAGUAAGUCCUUCGGGAUGUAAAGCCCUUUUCGAGAGGACGAUGAUGACGGUACUCUCGGAAUAAGCCCCGGCUAACUACGUGCCAGCAGCCGCGGUAAUACGUAGGGGGCGAGCGUUGUCCGGAAUUACUGGGCGUAAAGGGCGUGCAGGCGGUCUUUUAAGUCUGCGGUGAAAGCCCGGGGCUCAACCCCGGAGGGUCCGCGGAGACUGGAGGACUGGAGUCUCGGAGAGGAGUGUGGAAUCCCUGGUGGAGCGGUGGAAUGCGUAGAGAUCAGGGGGAACACCGAUGGCGAAGGCAGCACUCUGGCCGAGGACUGACGCUGAGACGCGAAAGCUGGGGGAGCGAACGG